UACGGAGGGUGCAAGCAUUGAUCGGAAUUACUGGGCGUAAAGGGCGCGUAGGCGGAUAGGAAAGUCAGAUGUGAAAUUCCGGGGCUCAACCUCGGAGCUGCAUUUGAAACUGUCUAUCUAGAGUUCAGUUAGGGAAAACGGAAUUCCACGUGUAGCGGUGAAAUGCGUAGAUAUGUGGAAGAACACCGGUGGUGAAGACGGUUUUCUGGGCUGAUACUGACGCUGAGGCGCGAAAGCGUGGGGAGCGAACAGG
rnacentral:rRNA from 1 species